rnacentral:rRNA from 1 species
CCUACGGUGGGCAGCAGUGAGGAAUAUUGGUCAAUGUGCGCGAGCCUGAACCAGCCAAGUAGCGUGAAGGAUGACUGCCCUACGGGUUGUAAACUUCUUUUAUAAAGGAAUAAAGUGAGGCACGUGUGCCUUUUUGUAUGUACUUUAUGAAUAAGGAUCGGCUAACUCCGUGCCAGCAGCCGCGGUAAUACGGAGGAUCCGAGCGUUAUCCGGAUUUAUUGGGUUUAAAGGGUGCGUAGGUGGUUAAUUAAGUCAGCGGUGAAAGUUUGUGGCUCAACCAUAAAAUUGCCGUUGAAACUGGUUGACUUGAGUACAGUAGAGGUGGGCGGAAUUCGGGGUGUAGCGGUGAAAUGCUUAGAUAUCACGAAGAACUCCGAUUGCGAAGGCAGUUCACUGGACUGCAACUGACACUGAGGCUCGAAAGUGUGGGUAUCAAACAGGAUUAGAUACCCUAGUAGUC